GAUGAAGAACGCAGCGAAAUGCGAUAAGUAAUGUGAAUUGCAGAAUUCAGUGAAUCAUCGAAUCUUUGAACGCACAUUGCGCCCGCCAGUAUUCUGGCGGGCAUGCCUGUCUGAGCGUCAUUUCAACCCUCAUGCCCCUAGGGUGUGGUGUUGGGGAUCGGCCAAAGCCCGCGAGGGACGGCCGGCCCCUAAAUCUAGUGGCGGACCCGUCGUGGCCUCCUCUGCGAAGUAGUGAUAUUCCGCAUCGGAGAGCGACGAGCCCCUGCCGUUAAACCCCCAACUUUCCAAGGUUGACCUCAGAUCAGGUAGGAAUACCCGCUGAACUUAAGCAUAUCAAUAAGCGGAGGA
rnacentral:misc_RNA from 1 species